GGGGAGGUGACAAACCGUGGGGAGGAAGCCUGCGAAGAUGAUCGGUAAGCCAGCAAAGAAUCGUCGCUGGACAUCUUCUCGCCAAGACCCGCCAGGUGACGAACAGAAACUUGAUACGAGGCCGACGACUCCAGGCGAUUGGGCUGCUGACCAAGAAGCCGAACCGGAAGAAAGAGCGUAGGUAGAUCAAGCACUUGGGCGGGGACAGAUCACGUG
rfam:Rhodopirellula baltica SH 1 complete genome